GAGCUUGUGGCUCAAUGGUAGUGCGUUCGACUUAAAUACGAAACGUCACAGGUUCGAAUCCCAGGUUUU
rnacentral:tRNA from 1 species